UACGAAGGGGGCUAGCGUUGCUCGGAAUCACUGGGCGUAAAGGGUGCGUAGGCGGGUCUUUUAAGUCAGGGGUGAAAUCCUGGAGCUCAACUCCAGAACUGCCUUUGAUACUGAGGAUCUUGAGUUCGGGAGAGGUGAGUGGAACUGCGAGUGUAGAGGUGAAAAUUCGUAGAUAUUCGCAAGAACACCAGUGGCGAAGGCGGCUCACUGGCCCGAUACUGACGCUGAGGCACGAAAGCGUGGGGAGCAAACAGGAUUAGAAUCA
rnacentral:rRNA from 1 species